rnacentral:rRNA from 1 species
UACGGAGGUGGCUAGCGUUGUUCGGAAUUACUGGGCGUAAAGCGCACGUAGGCGGCUUUGUAAGUUAGAGGUGAAAGCCCGGGGCUCAACUCCGGAAUUGCCUUUAAGACUGCAUCGCUAGAAUUGUGGAGAGGUAAGUGGAAUUCCGAGUGUAGAGGUGAAAUUCGUAGAUAUUCGGAAGAACACCAGUGGCGAAGGCGACUUACUGGACAAAUAUUGACGCUGAGGUGCGAAAGCGUGGGGAGCAAACAGG